ensembl:lncRNA novel transcript
AGUCGCCGCAGGCGCUUCAGCCCAGCGGCGGGCCUUGGCCCUUGGCUGCCUACUCCUACCGCCCCAGCCCCGGGCGGCCCUGGGCCUGCUGCGGGCGCGGCGCUGCCCGACCAGAGCUUCCUGUGGAACGUCUUCCAGAGGGUCGAUAAAGACAGGAGUGGAGUGAUAUCAGACACCGAGCUUCAGCAAGCUCUCUCCAACGGACAAAGGAAUCAUUAGGACAAAUUGUUAAUACUGCUUCAUGGUGGAGAUGCUUCUGGUUUAUUUUGUGGCUACCGCUGUUACUGCUUGGAGUGCCUCACCGAGCCAGGCACGUGGACUCCCUUUAAUCCAGUGACUGUCAGGUCGAUCAUAUGUAAGUAUCGGCAGACGGACCAACCUGGGCUGCUUUGUAUCCGACCCGCUUGGGUACCCGCUUGUGUUUCCUUUGUCUGUGGGUCCGUAUCACUUUGCUCCCUUCUGGAAUUCCACUUAGAUGAGCGUCGGCCCUUUCAUCCCUCUCCCCCCGUCUCUGUACCUUUUCACGUCUCUCCGUGUAUGUUUGCUCUAUUCUUGAUUCUGUUUAUUUUUAAUGUACGGUGUAACCUGUCCUUUCAGUUUCUAAUUCUAAAGAUGACAUAUAUUUAAAAUUUCUAAAUUAUUAGUUACUUUCACAUCUUAUCUGGGUGUUUUUGAUAGACAUUGCUUAUUUAUUUUUGUGAUUCCAUUCUUUAUUCAAAUAUUUCAUAUGAUAGUCUUCAGUUUUAAGAACAUGCUUUUUUGAAAAGCGCUAGAUAUUUGUGACGUGGAGUUCCUUGACUGUGUUUGAAGUCCUUGGGAGGGUGGUCUACAGCCAAAUAUUUUUCCUGCUCAAGCCCACACAGAGUGACCAACUUCCUUGAUGCUUCUGUAAUUUUUGUUUGUUUUGUGGGUUCAUGUGUAGCCUUAAUGUGAGGGUCUGCAUCAUUUCUUUGGGUCCAGGGUCUCCCCAGCUGUAUAGGCAGCUGGGUUUUUGUUUGUUUCUUUUAAGAGACAGGGUGUCCCUGUGUUGCCCAGGCCUGGUCUGGAAUUCCUGGGCUCACGCAAUCCUCCUGCCUCAGCCUCCCAAAAAGUGGGGAUUACAGGUGUGCACCCCCAUGCCCAGACGGUAG